rnacentral:rRNA from 1 species
GAUGAACGCUGGCGGCGUGCCUAAUACAUGCAAGUCGAGCGCUGAAGGGUGGUACUUGUACCAAUUGGAUGAGCAGCGAACGGGUGAGUAACGCGUGGGGAACCUGCCUUUGAGCGUGGGACAACAUUUGGAAACGAAAGCUAAUACCGCAUAAAAACUUUAAACACAAGUUUCAAGUUUGAAAGAUGCAAUUGCAUCACCUAAAGAUGAUCCCGCGUUGUAUUAGCUAGUUGGUGAGGUAAAGGCCCACCCAGGCGAUGGUACAGAGCCGGCCUGGGAGGGUGGACGGCCACAAUGGGAACGGGGCAACGCCCAAGAUCCUACGGGAGGCAACCGUAGGGGAUCUUCGGCAAUGGGCGGAAGUCUGGCCGAAGCACGGCGGGUGGGUGGAGGAGGUUUUCGGGACGUAAAACUCCGUUGAUUGGGGAGAACGUUAGUGAGAGUGAAAAGCUCAUCAAUUGACGGUAACUACCCAGAAAGGGACGGCUAACUACGUG